CAAAAUAAAUAGGUCUUGCCUGCUUGCAUAGAGUGACAGGUGCAUCACACAUCUAGUUAUAACUACCCUAAUAGACUAGACCUGGCUUAAGCCCCAUGUGGUGCGAGACAAGGCAACCGUGUUUGACAUCCACCUUGUAACUGCCUUUGUCCAGUUUAUUUUGUAUUAGCACUUUUACUAUUUGUUUUUCUUUCUAAAUUGAAUGUUAAUAGUAAGACGGAAUUAAUUAUUGGUCCCGCCCGGAGGUUUCCGGCCGGGCGCCUUUGAGCGACGCACUGAAGAAAACUUUACCGCGAAAGAGACUGAUUAUUCCGCUGUUGUCAUGUUUAAGUAAAUAAGUUGGCAGGAAAAUAUACAGAAGAUGAUUCAGGAGAUUUGAAAGGAUGUUUAGCACCUCUUUGUGAUAAGCAGCAAUGAGUUCUCAUGGGUUGACCAACAUUAAAGCCCUGUGUUCUAACCAAGACCUCUUGCUUCAUGCCUGUCACUGGGGGAGCUACACACCUGUCAAAUCCCGGGCCGUGUACAUUUUGCACCACCCUCUGUUGGAGCCCCAUGCACUGUCAAUACGCCUCAACCAGGAUUCGAUUGAAGCAAAGUUGCAGCUGCACUGCAAGCUGGAACGCUGCGGUACGUUACCGGCCGGUGGUGGCUGGUCCCCUUCAUGGGUGUGAGGACAUUGAGGGGGCCCUGGCGUACUCCGUCCGCUCCAUCAUCGACUCGAGGCGCCGGGUGGGGUGCCUCCAGUACCUCGUGGAGUGGGAGGGGUACGGCCCGGAGGAACGGAGCUGGGUUCCGGUGAGAGACAUCCUGGCUCUCGCCCUCCUGCGCGACUUCCAUCGCCCGGAUCGCCCUGCUCUGUGUUCCCCGGGUCGGCCCCAGGGCCGGUGUCGUUGGGGGGGUUGGUGCUGUAAUGACUGCGCCCUCUGCUGCCUCUCCUCCCCCUGCAGCAGGCAGGCUCCAGCGGUCGACGUCACCGGUCUUCUAACACCAUCGCCCGUCUCAUUCAUGCAUUUCCCCUGUUGUCUUGUUUAGCGCACCUGAUCCUCAUUCUAAUCAUUGCCCCCAGUAUAUAUGCUCCCUCUGCUUCCCGUGUCUUUGUGUUUUAUUGUCUCGCCUACCCAGAGCAUUAUCAGGCUACGCCACUAUUGUCACUAUUAAAACACAGUUCAACAGUACGACUUCGGAUUCCUGCUCCUCGUUCCUCCUCGAGCCUGACAUUCAGCAUUAUCCAACAACAUCUUGUUUUACCUGGGUUACUGGGGCCAAUAAUGACACAGCCGAAUGGGUGUUGAAGUUGCGGGUCAAAACCGCUAUCCAUCCUAGAAUGUGAUUUAGUACCCGUAAGGCCCUGUGCUGUAAUCAGGGAGCAGUACACACUUGUUGUACACAACUCUGAAAUGCUUAGACACUACUUGGUUUUUCAAUCUGAAUGUUGUUUUAUCUCUCACAAUUGUGUCUACAUUAGCAAGGACGUAAUCAUCAUCACCACCCUCGCCUCGUACAUAGUUAUCAACCAGUCGUGUUAGCGUCUCCAAAUUAACAAUGGUUGUGUUGUAGCUGUUGAGUGUAAUGUUUGCUUUGAGACAGGUCAGACCUUUAACAGUUUUGUAACCAUGUGUCUUUGGCCCACCACUAACAAAUUGAGCAAUGCUGUCACCAUCUGGCAACUAAACGGUCAAGUCACCCAAGAAUGGACCCAGUGGGGGGACCCAAUCCCCAUGGCGUGUGACAAAGAUCACUGAAUCAGUGUCUGUGUCUAUCCAACCUCUCCAAGAGUGAAUACAACUCAAGUCUAGCAUAAGCGGUUGUGAACGCGGCAAUAAAAAUGUUGCCGUUACGUGGUUUGAUUCGUGUCUGUUUUGUGUAAUGCCACUGUACCAUCGCAACGGUGUCUGAGAUAAAAGAGAAAUAACCAACUUCUAUUUCACUGGAAAAAAGGUAGUGGCUAAACCCCUCCGGAUCUGUAAUUAGCAUUCUGUUCAUAAGGUUAGACCAACCACCCAUCUUACCCCAAAGACUAUUCAUUACCAGUUUAGCCAAAGAUAGCCUAGUACUGUUUACAACAAUUUUUUCCCUGUCAAGCUGCACACCCUAAUUUUCAUGAUAUUCAGGGAUACAGAAAACCCCCAGCUAUCUGCGGUUCCAUAUUCCCGAACUCAAGUAUCCGCAGAAAUUCUAAAAACGCGCUAGUUUCAGCCAUCCAAGCGUCGAUCUGGUUAAUU
ensembl:lncRNA